GCUCGUCUGGGCGAGGAUAAAUAGCUGUUAGGCCCAGAGCGGCUCUUCGGAUUGUGUUCCCUCCGCAAUCCGGGGAGCGUCAGC
rnacentral:ribozyme from 1 species